UGGGGAAUCUUGCGCAAUGGGCGAAAGCCUGACGCAGCGACGCCGCGUGAGGGAAGAAGGCCUUCGGGUUGUAAACCUCUUUCAGGAGGGACGAAGCUACUCGGGUUAAUAGCCCAGAGGGUGACGGUACCUCCAGAAGAAGCCCCGGCUAACUACGUGCCAGCAGCCGCGGUAAUACGUAGGGGGCAAGCGUUGUCCGGAUUUACUGGGCGUAAAGCGCGUGUAGGCGGCUAUGCAGGUCCGUUGUGAAAACUGAAGGCUUAACCUUCAGACGUCGACGGAAACCGCGUGGCUAGAGUCCGGAAGAGGAGAGUGGAAUUCCUGGUGUAGCGGUGAAAUGCGCAGAUAUCAGGAAGAACACCAAUGGGCGAAGGCAGCUCUCUGGGACGGUACUGACGCUGAGACGCGAAAGCGUGGGGAGCGAACAGGAUUAGAUACCCUGGUAGUCCACGCCGUAAACGAUGGGUGCGUAGGUGUGGGAGGUGUCAACUCCUUCCGUGCCGCAGCUAACG
rnacentral:rRNA from 1 species